GCUGGGUGUGGUGGUGCACACCUGUAAUCCCAGCUACUCAGGAGGCUGAGGCAGGAGAAUCGCUUGAACACAGGAGGCAGAGGUUGCAGUGAGCUGAGAUUGUGCCACUGCACUCCAGCCUGGGUGACAGAGCAACACUCUGUCUCAA
rfam:Pan troglodytes isolate Yerkes chimp pedigree #C0471 (Clint) chromosome 4, whole genome shotgun sequence.